rnacentral:rRNA from 1 species
GACGCUGGCGGCAUGCCUAACACAUGCAAGUCGAACGAACCCUUCGGGGUGAGUGGCGCACGGGUGCGUAACGCGUGGGAACCUGCCCUUAGGUUUGGAAUAACAGUGAGAAAUCGCUGCUAAUACCAAAUAAUGUCUUCGGACCAAAGAUUUAUCGCCUUUGGAUGGGCCCGCGUUGGAUUAGCUAGUUGGUGGGGUAAAGGCUCACCAAUGCGACGAUCCAUAGCUGGUCUUAGAGGAUGAUCAGCCACACUGGGACUGAGACACGGCCCAGACUCCUACGGGAGGCAGCAGUGGGGAAUAUUGGACAAUGGGCGAAAGCCUGAUCCAGCAAUACCGCGUGUGUGAAGAAGGCCUGCUGGGUUGUAAAGCCUU